rnacentral:lncRNA from 1 species
UUAACUUGAAGAAGAGAAAUGGAGAAGGCAAAGGUGUGGAGUUGAGAUGUGGCUUGUACAAAGAUAGGGCAAGAGCUAUGGAGAAUGCCUAUCAAGAGUUAUGAAGUAUCUAAAGGUGUAGAGAAGUGAUCUGAUGGAUGUUCUAAGCAAGGGUAAAGUCUAGGAGAGACUUAGAAGGGUGUUGAGAAGCAAAUGGGCGAGUGUGCAAAGAUAGGGCGAGGCUGUACGGCCAUGUACGGAUCAGUACGGACGGUAGACGACCCAAGAAGAGCAGACUCGACCAUUUGGGGGUUUUAAGCUUUGUGCAAAGUUAGGGCGCAAGGGUACGGACAGGGCAUGGUCCGUACAUCUCCUGAUGGUGUUGUGCAAAGCUUGGGACAUAAGGAAAAGGAGUUAGGCGAAUGGAUAAGGUUCUGAUCAGAUGGCAUCAAAAGAGAAUCAAGUGGAGAUCCCUUUGGAGGAGCUUUGGGCGUGGAUAAGGUUCAGGACAGGCUGGCCUUGGCUGUAAAGUAAAGGCAGCCUUGACUAUGAACCUAGACUGAUUACAAGCUUGAUACAAAGGAGCCUAAGAAGAACCAAUCAAGAGCCAGCCUAGUUUGAAUGAGCCAAUGAGGCGCCAGCCUCUUCUUUCCAAUCAGAUCACCUUCUCCUCAUGACAAACAAGACCAGCUCAUCCACACCAUCCAUUUAAACUUCAAGUAUUAUCAGCCAUUAGAUUUAGGUUUAUGAUUUGCUCUUGUAAAGGCAUAUAUAAGCCUAAGGUUGGCGAUUUGUAAAGGUUAAGGGAGUAAGGGGGAUUUCCCCUCUCCACUUCUUGGAAAUAAGAAAAUUGUGUUCUUGAAUCAGAUUCUCUUUAAUCUCUCCCUUUCUUAGUCUUUAAUCUUCUAAUCUCUCAAAGUCUCUUGUUUCUGAUUUAAGUAAACACUCUCAUCAAUCUCUCUUUCUAAAUCACCUAGAGCAAGCUCUCAUCUUUCUCCAUUGGAGUUUAUACACACACAAACACAACUAGAGAAGAGAACUCUACAAAUCUCACAUGGUAUCAGAGCCAGGUUCAUCAGAACCUGAGCUGUAGCUUCCGCAAAUCACUUGCUCUCACCUCAGCUCAAAUCAAAGCCUAGAAGACAUGUACUUGCGGUUCUGGUUACUUCAAGAAGAAGAAGACUGAAGCAUGGCGUGUUACUCCUUAUCUCUCAGCCAGUUCAACCUGUACCUGAUGAUGACUCUUGUUGGAAGCAAAGGUGUGUGGAGAGGCCUCGCGAACCUUGUCCAUGGCGCCUUGUCCAAAGGCUGUUCCUCAUCUGGUGUGAAGAGAAAGCUAUCCAGAAGAUGGCGAGUAGAGGGCUUGAAGAAAGGAGGGGUUUGUGAGUAUGAGAAACAAGGAGGAAGUCAUGAACUGAAGGAGAAGGAGAUGGGUAACGAUCCAGACUCACAUAUCCUCAAAGUCAUGAGCUUACCAUCCGAGAGUGAUACAAGGACCAACCUGGUUCCUUGAUAGUAAGCGAUUCUUUAAACCUUAAGUGAUAAUGAGCUUGUGAUAAGAUCUUGUUGUGUGUUGUGAUGUGAUUGAAAACCUGAGGAUUGUUUAAAGAUUGCUAAAUGAAAUGAAAUGAAUUUAGAAUCUAUCCCAGGAUGCUUAAAGAGACUUGUUUGGUGAUUGAGAUUGAAAUAAUAUGCUUAGCUCCAGUUCAUAGUGAUGCUUGUUGUGAUUGAUUGAAUCUGCUUGCAUACAUGUAUUGAAACUGAUUUAAAGCUGUUGCAUAUAGUCUUGUGGCUGUCUUACAUUGAAGCAUUAGAUUCAUGUCUAAAUUGCUGAGUAAAGAAGCUUUAAAAUGCCUAAGUAGCUUGCAUAAAUCUAGAAAAGAAAAUGCUUGUGCUUAGCGAGUUUGCUUGCAAAGAUUAGAACUUGAAAAUGACUUGUUUAAUCUGUUGCAAUGCUUGUGAUAUUGGGAAUCAAACUUGAUGAUUAAUCAAGGAGUGAUCCCAAUACUAUUGUGUCUCAUCUUUGCUGGAGUUUGAGUGAUGUUUCAGGUUCACAAGAUGUGUUCUUGGUUCACCAUCCAUCCGAGUUGAAAGUAGGAGACGUUUGCCCAUUGUGUGUGCAAUGGAGAGUGGAUACAAGAGUGGUGAUGCGCCACUGGUGUGUAGUCUCACUGAAGCUCACUUGCAAGCUUGGACCUAUACUCAAUCCAAGCUUGAGGAGGGGAGUUUAGUGAGCUAUCAGUCUGUUCAAGAAGGUUCAGAAGGUCCAUUGCAAGCAACUGAAGAAGAAGGAGCCAUUCGGGUCUAGGCAGUGGCGUGUCUAGGCAAGAGAGUGUUCAGAGCACUCUUGGCUGUGAGAAGAUGGAGACUCUAUCAGUGCGGCUUCUAGUGUGAGGUGGCUGAAGAGGUAGCUGAAGCUUCCACAAGCAAUCCAUGAAGAUGGCGAGUUCAGAAGGUGUUGCAAUGGAGUAAUGGUACAGAUCAUGAAGCUAUCCAUCCAAGCUUGUUCCUGUGAGAGUCUCAAGCUUGAGGGGGAGUGUUGAAGCUUACAUGAUCUGAGAGUACUUGGUGGGUAUUCAAGAAGAGGAGCAGAUCAGUUAUGAAGCAGAAUGAAGGAUGAAGAGGCAAUCACCAAUGCGGCCUCUAGAGUGAGGUGAUUGGUACUACAGUCUGAAGCAUCCUGUCAUGAAGGUUUCAGUAACAUGGUGGUGACUCAUGAAGAAGAAGCAGCCAAGACUCAGCUUGUAUCUAUCAAGGAAGAUCAACCAGUCCGAGCACUUGAUCACAACAAGAAGGUUGUGAGAAAGGGGGAGAGACCAAGAUCUGUCUGAAGAAGAGUACAAGAAGUGUUGAUGAUGAGCAAGAGGAGUGGGUUCUAUCUUGCAUCACAUGAGGGCCAUGAUCCAGAGUCUUUGUGUCCCUUACAUUGUUGGUAAGGCACAAAGACUCACUGGCCAAUCCCUAGGCCUUGGAGGCUUUACUCUUUUUCCCUCAUCAAGGUUUUGUCCCAAAGGGUUUUCCUUGGUGAGGUUUUUAAUGAGGAAGUUCUUCAAGGUUCCAAGCUUGACUUAGGAUCAGCUAAAGUCAAGCUUGAGGGGGAGUGUUAACUUGAAGAAGAGAAAUGGAGAAGGCAAAGGUGUGGAGUUGAGAUGUGGCUUGUACAAAGAUAGGGCAAGAGCUAUGGAGAAUGCCUAUCAAGAGUUAUGAAGUAUCUAAAGGUGUAGAGAAGUGAUCUGAUGGAUGUUCUAAGCAAGGGUAAAGUCUAGGAGAGACUUAGAAGGGUGUUGAGAAGCAAAUGGGCGAGUGUGCAAAGAUAGGGCGAGGCUGUACGGCCAUGUACGGAUCAGUACGGACGGUAGACGA